rnacentral:lncRNA from 1 species
GAGCCGGGACCCGGGAGCCGGGAGAGGGGCGGGGAAGGCGCAGGUGCGGUCCUGGCGUCCCAGCCUCCGCGCUCACGCCUCGCGCCCUGGCGGCUGCAGGUCUGCGGAAGGAGAGCGGGGGCGGCAGCGCAUCAAGGGCAACGGCAUCAGCCUCCGCGGCGGAGCCCUGGGUCGGCUGCGCGGAGGGGCCCGAUAGCGGCAGCGGGCCAGCCGAGCCUUCAGAGCCUGGGGACGGCUCGGGAUGGGCGCGCGGGGCGCUGAGGACGGGGAGACGGGCUGGGAGCAGACAGGAGGGAAAUUCCGAGCGCUGGGCCGCAGGUGUGGCGAACAGGAGCCUCUUGAAUGCAAAAAUCCAAGAUCCAAGAUGCUGCUUUUCUGCAGUUCGAGAAUCUCCCAAGCCAUCCGCUGAGAGAACUCAGCUCUGGAGGACAUUCCGAGAACAUUGCCAGGA